rnacentral:rRNA from 1 species
GAGUUUGAUCAUGGCUCAGAUUGAACGCUGGCGGCAGGCUUAACACAUGCAAGUCGAACGGUAGCAGGAGAAAGCUUGCUUUCUUGCUGACGAGUGGCGGACGGGUGAGUAAUGCUUGGGAAUCUGGCUUAUGGAGGGGGAUAACUACUGGAAACGGUAGCUAAUACCGCGUAAUAUCGAGAGAUUAAAGACUGGGACCUACGGGCCAGUUGCCAUAAGAUGAGCCCAAGUGGGAUUAGGUAGUUGGUGGGGUAAAGGCCUACCAAGCCCGCGAUCUCUAGCUGGUCUGAGAGGAUGACCAGCCACACUGGAACUGAGACACGGUCCAGACUCCUACGGGAGGCAGCAGUGGGGAAUAUUGCACAAUGGGGGGAACCCUGAUGCAGCCAUGCCGCGUGAAUGAAGAAGGCCUUCGGGUUGUAAAGUUCUUUCGGUGGUGAGGAAGGUAUCAACUUUAAUAGAGUUGGUAANNGACGUAUCCACAGAAGAGCACCGGUAUUCG